CCUACGUGAGGCAGCAGUGGGGAAUAUUGCACAAUGGGGGAAACCCUGAUGCAGCGACGCCGCGUGAGUGAAGAAGUACUUCGUUAUGUAAAGCUCUAUCAGCAGGGCAGAAAAUGACGGUACCUGAGUAAGUAGCCCCGGCUAACUCCGUGACAGCAGCCGCGGUCAUACGUAGGGGGCACGCGUUAUCCGGUUGUACUGGGUGGAAAGUGAGCGUAGAUAGCAGUGCAAGUCUGGUGGGAAAGGCGGGGGCUCAACCCCCGGACUGCUCUGGAAACUGGACGGCUGGAGUGCAGGAGAGGUAAGUGGAAUUCCUAGUGUAGCGGUGAAAUGCGUAGAUAUUAGGAGGAACACCAGUGGCGAAGGCGGCUUACUGGACUGUAACUGACGUUGAGGGUCGAAAGCGUGGGGAGCAAACAGGAUUAGAUACCCGGGUAGUC
rnacentral:rRNA from 1 species